AUGGGCAAGGACACUAUUGCUGAUUUACUAACCUCUAUAAGAAAUGCGGACAUGAAUAAAAAAGGAACAGUUCGAGUAGUAUCUACAAAUAUUACCGAAAACAUUGUUAAAAUACUUCUACGAGAGGGUUUUAUUGAAAGUGUUCGGAAACAUCAGGAACGUAACAGAUAUUUCUUGGUUUCAACUUUGCGACAUCAAAAGACAAAGACUAGAAAAGGAAUAUAUAGAACAAGAACCUUUUUAAAGCGUAUUAGCCGACCCGGCUUACGAAUUUAUACCAACUAUCAAGGAAUUCCUAAAGUUUUGGGUGGAAUGGGAAUUGCUAUUCUUUCUACUUCUCGAGGAAUAAUGACCCUCAAGAAGCUUUAA
rnacentral:rRNA from 1 species